UCGUUGCUUGCUCUCUCUGUUAUAAGUUUUCCUAGGGGUUGACAAAAGCAGCCCUAGGAGAGCCGAGUGGCCAGAUUGAAGUGGGCCUAAAUUCUUAGAUCUUAACCUCUAUGGAGUCUUCCACACCUCCACACUUCUACUGCCCCUUCUGUGGGUCACCUAAGACUGAGUUCCCUUCUUGCUUCUUUGUGGCUUGAGAUGAUUAACUUUUAGUGCCUACAGAAUUUUGACCACUUCCGGUCCUUGAACAGGGGCGGGAGGUACUAUCAGAGGAGGAGGAACCCUCAGGAUCAGUACUGGGUUCCCUUAAGCCUUCAUCUGAAGCAUGCAUCUCUUCCAUGUGUCUGUUCCAGGCAGUGGUGGCGAUCUCACAGUCAGAACCAGAAGACCAGAUGAUCCACAGUCCCAAAGUGAAACUCGGACCCUUCCACAAGAUCAGAGUUGGUGACACUUGGCAGUGUGGCUGUGCAUGUUCCCCAGGAGGCACAGAGGCAGCUGGAGCCUUGCUAGAGGAACCACCUGGAAAUAAGUUGGGAGAGAUCUGCAGAUGGGGCCUCACUAGAUUUUCCAACCCACAGACCGGAUGUGAGCUUCCACAUGUUGCAGGAGGCAAAACCACAGAGCCCAGAUCUUCCGUGCUCUGGAGAGGAGAGUGUGAGAGACUCCCCGGUGGGUCAGGGGAGAGUCGAGCCUGGCCAGGUGCCUGUCUUGAGAAAAGCCAAGACCCAGGAUGGGCUGGAGAGCAGGGCCCGGAGGAUGAGAGGUGGCAGGGGUGCACUGGGGCGAUGAGGAAACCAAGACUUUUUUGGGAAUUCUCAGUGAUUCCUGGAUUCAUGAAAACUGCACCUGCCAUUGGAACUGCCGGGUGUACCGGAUUGUGGCUGUGCGGCUGCGGGAACGUGGUUUCCUACAGACCCUGGAACAGUAUCUCUACCAGUUCAAAAUCCUCCAGACCAAGUACCGCAAAGUCAGGAGCACCCACACCCCAGGCACCUGCCCCUUCGGUGAUGAGGUGGAUGCCCUGA
rnacentral:lncRNA from 1 species